UCUCUACGCUAUGUUGGACU
rnacentral:snRNA from 1 species